AUUGAACGCUGGCGGAAUGCUUUACACAUGCAAGUCGAACGGCAGCACGGGGCAACCUGGUGGCGAGUGGCGAACGGGUGAGUAAUACAUCGGAACGUGCCCAAUCGUGGGGGAUAACGUAGCGAAAGUUACGCUAAUACCGCAUACGAUCUACGGAUGAAAGCGGGGGAUCGCAAGACCUCGCGCGAAUGGAGCGGCCGAUGUCAGAUUAGGUAGUUGGUGGGGUAAAGGCUCACCAAGCCAACGAUCUGUAGCUGGUCUGAGAGGACGACCAGCCACACUGGGACUGAGACACGGCCCAGACUCCUACGGGAGGCAGCAGUGGGGAAUUUUGGACAAUGGGCGCAAGCCUGAUCCAGCCAUUCCGCGUGCAGGAUGAAGGCCUUCGGGUUGUAAACUGC
rnacentral:rRNA from 1 species